CUGGCUCAGGAUGAACGCUAGCGACAGGCUUAACACAUGCAAGUCGAGGGGCAGCACGGGAGUAGCAAUACAACUGGUGGCGACCGGCGCACGGGUGAGUAACGCGUAUGCAACCUACCUAUCAGGAGGGGAAUAACCCGGCGAAAGUCGGACUAAUACCGCAUAAAACAGGGGCACCGCAUGGUGAUAUUUGUUAAAGAGAUUCGCUGAUAGAUGGGCAUGCGUUCCAUUAGGUAGUUGGUGAGGUAACGGCUCACCAAGCCGACGAUGGAUAGGGGAACUGAGAGGUUGGUCCCCCACACUGGUACUGAGACACGGACCAGACUCCUACGGGAGGCAGCAGUGAGGAAUAUUGGUCAAUGGGCGGGAGCCUGAACCAGCCAAGUCGCGUGAAGGAAAGAAGGAUCUAUGGUUCGUAAACUUCUUUGCAGGGGAAUAAAGUGCAGGACGUGUCCUGUUUUGUAUGUACCCUGAGAAUAAGGAUCGGCUAACUCCGUGCCAGCAGCAGC
rnacentral:rRNA from 1 species